rnacentral:rRNA from 1 species
CACGUAGGGGGCAAGCGUUGUCCGGAUUUAUUGGGCGUAAAGAGCUCGUAGGCGGUUCGCUAAGUCGGGUGUGAAACCUCCAGGCUCAACCUGGAGACGCCACCUGAUACUGGUGUGACUCGAGUCCGGUAGGGGAGCGUGGAAUUCCUGGUGUAGCGGUGAAAUGCGCAGAUAUCAGGAGGAACACCAGCGGCGAAGGCGGCGCUCUGGGCCGGAACUGACGCUGAGACACGAAAGCGUGGGUAGCAAACAGG